rnacentral:rRNA from 1 species
UACUGAGGGGGCAAGCGUUGUUCGGAAUUACUGGGCGUAAAGGGCGCGUAGGCGGCCCGCUAAGUCGAACGUGAAAUCCCCAGGCUCAACCUGGGAACUGCGUCCGAUACUGGCAGGCUUGAAUCCGGGAGAGGGAUGGGGAAUUCCAGGUGUAGCGGUGAAAUGCGUAGAUAUCUGGAGGAACACCGGUGGCGAAGGCGGCAUCCUGGACCGGCAUUGACGCUGAGGCGCGAAAGCUAGGGGAGCAAACAGG